rnacentral:rRNA from 1 species
GACGAACGCUGGCGGCGUGCUUAACACAUGCAAGUCGAACGAAGUGGCGAACUGGUGAGUAACGCGUAAUCAACCUGCCCUUCAGAGGGGGACAACAGUUGGAAAAGACUGCUAAUACCGCAUAGUGAAGGAGGGGAUUGCGUCUGAUUGGCUGGUUGGAGGGGUAACGGCCCACCAAGGCGAUGAUCAGUAGCCGGUCUGAGGGGAUGACCGGCGACAGUGGGACUGAGGCACGGCCCAGAAUCGUAAGGGAGGCAGCAGUGGGGAACCGUGCGCAAUGGAGGAAAGUCUGACCGAGGAACCCCCCGUGAGUGAUGGCGGCCUUCGGGUUGGAGAGCUCUGUUAGUCGGGACGCGGUACCGGAAUAGAAAGCAACGGCUAACUACGUGCCAGCAGCCGCGGUAAUAC